AUUGAACGCUGGCGGCAUGCUUUACACAUGCAAGUCGAGCGGCAGCGCGGGGGCAACCCUGGCGGCGAGCGGCGAACGGGUGAGUAAUGCAUCGGAACGUAUCCUCGAGUGGGGGAUAACCCAGCGAAAGUUGGGCUAAUACCGCAUGAGCUCUGAGGAGGAAAGCGGGGGACCUGUGAGGGCCUCGCGCUGGAGGAGCGGCCGAUGUCCGAUUAGCUAGUUGGUGGGGUAAAGGCUUACCAAGGCGACGAUCGGUAGCUGGUCUGAGAGGAUGAUCAGCCACACUGGGACUGAGACACGGCCCAGACUCCUACGGGAGGCAGCAGUGGGGAAUUUUGGACAAUGGGGGCAACCCUGAUCCAGCCAUGCCGCGUGAGUGAAGAAGGCCUUCGGGUUGUAAAGCUCUUUCGGACGGAACGAAAUGGGCGGGACUAAUACUCCUGUCUGAUGACGGUACCGUAAGAAGAAGCACCGGCUAACUACGUG
rnacentral:rRNA from 1 species